UACGUAGGAGGCGAGCGUUGUCCGGAUUUACUGGGCGUAAAGCGCGCGCAGGCGGCACUGUAAGUAAGGUGUGAAAUCUCCCUGCUCAACGGGGAGGGUGCAUUUUAGACUGCAGAGCUAGAGGACGGUAGAGGGGGGUGGAAUUGCUGGUGUAGCGGUGAAAUGCGUAGAGAUGUGGAGGAACACCGAUGGCGAAGGCAGCCUCCUGGGCCAACACUGACGCUCAUGCACGAAAGCGUGGGGAGCAAACAGG
rnacentral:rRNA from 1 species